ensembl:misc_RNA
CAGAUCAUAUACAGCAUGGGCAGCAUCAGUGCAAGCUUCCCUCAUGCUGACCCCUGAUGAUGUGCAUUAUCAUG